rnacentral:rRNA from 1 species
GUUCAGCACUAAGUCACUUUGUCUUUAUGGCAAAUGUGAGAUGCAGUGUAUGGAAUGUCAAAUUUCUAGUAUGAGAAAUUAACGAUUUAAGUCCUUCUUAAAUGAGGCCAUUUACCCAGAGAGGGUGCCAGGCCCGUAUAACGUUAAUGAUUACUAGAUGGCAUUUCCAAAGAGUCGUGUUGCUUGAUAGUGCAGCACUAAGUGGGUGGUAAACUCCAUCUAAAACUAAAUAUAACCAUGAGACCGAUAGUAAACAAGUACCGUGAGGGAAAGUUGAAAAGAACUCUGAAUAGAGAGUUAAAUAGUACGUGAAACUGCUUAGAGGUUAAGCCCGAUGAACCUGAAUAUCCAUUAUAGAAAAUUCAUCAUUAUGAUUUUAAUAUUAAUAAUAUUAUAAUAAUGGUGUGCAUUUUUUCUAUAACGGACAUUGUAAUCUAUUAACAUAAAUGUAUUUAUCAUAAGAUCAAUGAUGCGUAAGUUUAUUCAAAUUAUUUUGCUUGCAAUUUAACAUAGAAUAAAUGCUCUUGAUUUGAUAAAGUGUUGAUAGAUUUAUUGUAUAUAGUGCUUAAAUAUUUUAUAUUUUAUAAUAGCAUAUUAAUCAUUGAUUUUUAUGUUUAUUAUAUGCACUUAUAUGAUUAACAAUGCGAAAGAUUCAGGAUACCUUCGGGACCCGUCUUGAAACACGGACCAAGGAGUCUAACAUAUUUGCAAGUUAUUGGGUAUCAAAACCUAAUAGCGAAAUUAACAUAACUUAUAUGGGAUUAGUUUUUAGAUUAUUUAUAGUCUAUUAAUUCAAUCCCGGGGCGUUCUAAUGGUUAUGUAUAAUAAUAUUUAUAUUAUUUAUACCUCUAACUGGAGCGUACCUUGAGCAUAUAUGCUGUGACCCGAAAGAUGGUGAACUAUACUUGAUCAGGUUGAAGUCAGGGGAAACCCUGAUGGAAGACCGAAACAGUUCUGACGUGCAAAUCG